CAAUAGCGUAUAUUAAAGUUGUUGCAGUUAAAAAGCUCGUAGUUGGGUUUCUGGUGGGAGCGAUCGGUCUGGCGCUUAGCGCGAGUACUUGCAUCGUCUCCGGCCAUCCUUGGGGAGAGUCUGUCUGGCAUUAAGUUGUCGGGCAGAGGAUCCUCAUCGUUUACUGUGAAAAAAUUAGAGUGUUCAAAGCAGGCUUAUGCCGUUGAAUAUAUUAGCAUGGAAUAAUAAGAUAGGACUUUGGUACUAUUUUGUUGGUUUGCGCACCAAAGUAAUGAUUAAUAGGGACAGUUGGGGGUAUUCGUAUUCCGUUGUCAGAGGUGAAAUUCUUGGAUUUACGGAAGACGAACUACUGCGAAAGCAUUUACCAAGGAUGUUUUCAUUAA
rnacentral:rRNA from 1 species